AUUGAACGCUGGCGGCAUGCCUUACACAUGCAAGUCGAACGGCAGCACGGGAGCAAUCCUGGUGGCGAGUGGCGAACGGGUGAGUAAAGUAUCAGAACGUGCCCAGUCGUGGGGGAUAACGUAGCGAAAGUUACGCUAAUACCGCAUACGAUCUAUGGAUGAAAGCGGGGGAUCGCAAGACCUCGCGCGAUUGGAGCGGCCGAUAUCAGAUUAGGUAGUUGGUGGGGUAAAGGCUCACCAAGCCGACGAUCUGUAGCUGGUCUGAGAGGACGACCGGCCACACUGGGACUGAGACACGGCCCAGACUCCUACGGGAGGCAGCAGUGGGGAAUUUUGGACAAUGGGCGAAAGCCUGAUCCAGCCAUGCCGCGUGCAGGAUGAAGGCCUUCGGGUUGUAAACUGCUUUUGUACGGAACGAAAAGGUUUGGCCUAAUAAGCUGAGCUCAUGACGGUACCGUAAGAAUAAGCACCGGCUAACUACGUGCCGGCCGCCGCCGUAA
rnacentral:rRNA from 1 species